rnacentral:tRNA from 1 species
ACCUGGGUGGCUUAGUUGGUUAAGUGUCUGACUUUGGCUCAGGUCAUGAUCCCAUAGUUUGUGGGUUUGAGCCCCACAUCAGGCU